AGCUCCUCCUGAACAAGCUGUUUGGCCCGGAUCUCCGCUUCGAGAGCAGACUGCAAUUCCAGCCGUGCAGACAUAUCCAGCUUCUGACUACGGCGGACCUUCCAAAGGGGGUCCUACACACAGUAGUUCAGAUACUGAAUUACAUCACUGGUUACUCCAUUACUCUUGUCUCUGAUAAAAGACUAAAGUGAUAAGGGAGAGGAGGAUGACGGCGUGACCUCGAUGGAGUGACAGUGGGCUGAAGCGCCGGACGACAGCACCCACACCCCUGUUCCCUUACUGGGUGUCCCAGCACACUUCACCACUUUCAAGAGGUAUGAAAGGACACACCAGCUUGAUAGACUUUUGCAGAAGUCUUCCCUGAACACACAGUCCAGAACUUCUCAUUCUCCAUCUCUAACAGCAGAGAGAACGAGAUCGAGUCAAGGAGGCGCUCCACAAGUGGCAGACAAUCCCACUCGCAGAAUGUCUCGUAGUUCGUGAAUGCAACAUACAGUAAAUGUGACCGGAAAACGGAGAGAUGAAAAAAAUGGUAAAGUGGACCCAGAACAAUGGAAAGAGAGGAAGAGGGCCAUGUGCAGCCGCCACCAGUGAAGCACACAGCCCACCGACGG